AGAAACUUAGGAUAUAUUAAACCGGGGGCCUUCAAAGCUCCAAAUAGAGACUACUCUCUAGUUUCUG
rnacentral:tRNA from 1 species